rnacentral:ncRNA from 1 species
AAAUUGAAGAGUUUGAUCAUGGCUCAGAUUGAACGCUGGCGGCAGGCCUAACACAUGCAAGUCGAGCGGCAGCGACAUG